CAAAGGCUAGUUUGAUACCGCAAGCCAAACAUAUGAAUUUUGUAGUCUUUACAAUAUUACAGGAAAUAGUAGUAAAACUGCAGGUGUGGUAAUGAGCCAUGUUUCCGUUGUUAAUGAAUGAAAUGUUUAUCCUGAACCACCUGAUCAUCUGAAACUUCUUUGCUGCUCACAUGGUUCAGUCGCAUCACUCCGAGUAGGCCAUCCAAGCAUCAUCAACAGAAUGUUAAGGUAGAUUUAAUGAUCUAAAUGUGAUGAUUAGUGCAAGAAGCAUAUUUUGCUUAUAAUGCACUAUUAAAAAGGGCAAGUAUUUGAUAUUCACCAAUGAAUUGGGGUAGCCAAUUGGCAGGAAAAAUAUUAGAAGUCUGUAACUGAAGGACAUAAGCUAACUUUGUUGGGGAACGUAGUAAUUUCAAAAAUUUCCUACGCACACGCAAGAUCAUGGUGAUGCAUAGCAACGAGAGCGAAGAGUGUCGUCUACAUACCCUCGUAGACCGUAAGCGGAGGCGUUAUGACAACGCGGUUGAUGUAGUGGUACGUCUUCACGAUCGACCGAUCCUAAGUACCGAACGUACGACACCUCCGAGUUCAGCACACGUUCAGCUCGGUGACGUCCCGCGAACUCACGAUCCAGUAGAGCUUCCGGGAAGAGCUUUGUCAGCACGACGGCGUGGUGACGGUGUUGAUGAAGCUACUGACACAGGGCUUCGCCUAAGCACCGCUACGAUAUGACCGAGGUGGAUUAUGGUGGAGGGGGGCACCGCACACGGCUAAAAGAUCAAUGAUCAAUUGUUGUGUCUCCAAGGGGUACCCCCUCCCCGUAUAUAAAGGAGUGGAGGAGGGGGAGGGGGUCGGCCUCCUAUGGCGCGCCCCAUGAGGAGUCCUCCUCCCACCGGGAGUAGGACUCCCCCCUUUCAAGUAGGAGUAGGCGAGGGGCAGGAAGGGAGAGAAGGAGAGAAGGAAAAAAGGGGGGCGCCCCCCCCCCCUCCUUGUCCAAUUCGGACUAGAGGGGGAGGGGGCAUGCGGCUGCCCUGGCCGCCCCUCCUCUUCUCCCACUAGGGCCCAUUAGGCCCAAUAUACUCCCCGGGGGAUUCCGGUAACCCCCUCGUACUCCGGUAUAUGUCCGAAACCUCCCGAAACACUUCCGGUGUCUGAACAUAGUCGUCCAAUAUAUCGAUCUUUACGUCUCGACCAUUUCGAGACUCCUCGUCAUGCCAGUGAUCACAUCCGGGACUCCAAACUACCUUCGGUACAUCAAAACACAAAAACUCAUAAUAACGAUCGUCACAGAACUUUAAGCUUGCGGACCCUACGGGUUCGAGAACUAUGUAGAACAUGACCGAGACACGUCUCCGGUCAAUAACCAAUAGCGGAACCUGGAUGCUCAUAUUGGUUCCCACAUAUUUUACGAAGAUCUUUAUCGGUCAAACCGCAUAACAACAUACGUUGUUCCCUUUGUCAUCGGUACGUUACUUGCCCGAGAUUCGAUCGUCGGUAUCUCAAUACCUAGUUCAAUCUCGUUACCGGCAAGUCUCUUUACUCGUUCGUGAUACAUCAUCCCGCAACUAACUCAUUAGUUGCAUUGCUUGCAAGGCUUAUUAUGAUGUGCAUUACCGAGAGGGCCCAGAGAUAUCUCUCCGACAAUCGGAGUGACAAAUCCUAAUCUCGAUCUAUGCCAACUCAACAAGUACCUUCGGAGACACCUGUAGAGCACCUUUAUAAUCACCCAGUUACGUUGUGACGUUUGGUAGCACACAAAGUGUUCCUCCGGUAUUCAGGAGUUGCAUAAUCUCAUAGUCAUAGGAACAUGUAUAAUUCAUGAAGAAAGCAAUAGCAACAUACUAAACAAUCAAGUGCUAAGCUAACGGAAUGGGUCAUGUCAAUCACAUCAUUAUCCUAAUGAUGUGAUCCCGUUAAUCAAAUGACAACUCAUGUCUAUGGCUAGGAAACUCAACCAUGUUUGAUCAACGAGCUAGUCAAGUAGAGGCAUACUAGUGACACUAUGUUUGUCAAUGUAUUCACCCAUGUAUUAUGUUUCCGGUUAAUACAAUUCUAGCAUGAAUAAUAAAAAUUUAUCAUGAUAUGAGGAAAUAAAUAAUAACUUUAUUAUUGCCUCUAGGGCAUAUUUCCUUCACUCUCCCACUUGCACUAGUCAAUAAUCUAGAUUACACAGUAAUGAUUCUAACACCCAUGGAGUCUUGGUGCUGAUCAUGUUUUGCUCGUGGAAAAGGCUUAGUCAACGGGUCUGCAACAUUUAGAUCCGUAUGUAUCUUGCAAAUUUCUAUGCCUCCCUCCUGGACUUGAUCCCGGAUGGAAUUGAAGCGUCUCUUGAUGUGCUUGGUUCUCUUGUGAAAUCUGGAUUCCUUUGCCAAGGCAAUUGCACUAGUAUUGUCACAAAAGAUUUUCAUUGGAACCGAUGCACUAGGUAUGACACCUAGAUCAGAUAUGAACUCCUUCAUCCAGACUCCUUCAUUUGCUGCUUCCGAAGCAGCUAUGUACUCUGCUUCACACGUAGAUCCCGCCACGACGCUUUGUUUAGGACUGCUCCAACUAACAGCUCCACCGUUCAAUAUAAACACGUAUCCGGUUUGCGAUUUAGAAUCGUCCGGAUCAGUGUCAAAGCUUGCAUCGACGUAACCAUUUACGACUAGCUCUUUGUCACCUCCAUAAACGAGAAACAUAUCCUUAGUCCUUUUCAGGUAUUUCAGGAUGUUCUUGACCGCUGUCCAGUGAUCCACUCCUGGAUUACUUUGGUACCUCCCUGCUAAACUAAUAGCAAGGCACACAUCAGGUCUGGUACACAGCAUUACAUACAUGAUAGAGCCUAUGGCUGAAGCAUAGGGGAUACUUUUCAUCUUCUCUCUAUCUUCUGCAGUGGUCGGGCAUUGAGUCUUACUCAACGUCACACCUUGUAACACAGGCAAGAACCCUUUUAUUUGCUUGAUCCAUUUUGAACUUCUUCAAAAUUUUAUCAAGGUAUGUGCUUUGUGAAAGUCCAAUUAAGCGUCUUGAUCUAUCUCUAUAGAUCUUGAUACCCAAUAUAUAAGCAGCUUCUCCGAGGUCUUUCAUUGAAAAACUCUUAUUCAAGUAUCCUUUUAUGCUAUCCAGAAAUUCUAUAUCAUUUCCAAUCAACAAUAUGUCAUCCACAUAUAAUAUUAGAAAUGCUACAGAGCUCCCACUCACUUUCUUGUAAAUACAGGCUUCUCCAAAAUUCUGUAUAAAACCAUAUGCUUUGAACACACUAGCAAAACGUUUAUUCCUACUCCGAGAGGCUUGCACCAGUCCAUAAAUGGAUCGCUGGAGCUUGCACACCUUGUCAGCACCCUUUGGAUCGACAAAACCUUUUGGUUGCAUCAUAUACAACUCUUCUUCCAGAAAUCCAUUCAGGAAUGCAGUCUUGACAUCCAUUUGCCAAAUUUCAUAAUCAUAAAAUGCGGCAAUUGCUAACAUGAUUUGGACAGACUUAAGCAUCGCUACGGGUGAGAAAGUCUCAUCGUAGUCAACCCCUUGAACUUGUCGAAAACCUUUUGCAACAAGUCGAGCUUUGUAGACAGUAAUAUUACCAUCAGCGUCAGUCUUCUUCUUAAAGAUCCAUUUAUUCUCGAUGGCUUGCCGAUCAUCGGGCAAGUCAACCAAAGUCCACACUUUGUUCGCAUACAUGGAUCCCAUCUCAGAUUUCAUGGCCUCAAGCCAUUUUGUGGAAUCUGGGCUCACCACCGCUUCGUCAUAGUUCGUAGGCUCACCAUGGUCAAGUAACAUGACUUCCAGAACAGGAUUACCGUACCACUCUGGUGCGGAUCUUACUCUGGUUGACCUACGAGGUUCGGUAGUAACUUGAUCUGAAGUUUCAUGAUCAUCAUCAUUAGCUUCCUCACUAAUUGGUGUAGGUAUCACAGGAACCGGUUUCUGUGAUGAACUACUUUCCAAUAAGGGAGUAGGUAUGGUUACCUCAUCAAGUUCUACUUUCCUCCCACUCACUUUUUUCGAGAGAAACUCCUUCUCUAGAAAGUAUACAUUCUUACCAACAAAUGUCUUGCCUUCGGAUCUGUGAUAGAAGGUGUACUCAACAGUCUCCUUUGGGUAUCCUAUGAAGACACAUUUCUCCGAUUUGGGUUCGAGCUUAUCAGGUUGAAGCUUUUUCACAUAAGCAUUGCAGCCCCAAACUUUAAGAAACGACAACUUUGGUUUCUUGCCAAACCACAGUUCAUAAGGCGUCGUCUCAACGGAUUUAGAUGGUGCCCUAUUUAACGUGAAUGCAGCCGUCUCUAAAGCAUAACCCCAAAACGAUAGCGGUAAAUCAGUAAGAGACAUCAUAGAUCGCACCAUAUCUAGUAAAGUACGAUUACGACGUUCGGAGACACCAUUACGCUGUGGUGUUCCGGGUGGCAUGAGUUGCGAAACUAUUCCGCAUUGUUUCAAAUGAAGACCAAACUCGUAACUCAAAUAUUCUCCUCCACGAUCAGAUUGUAGAAACUUUAUUUUCUUGUUACGAUGAUUUUCCACUUCACUCUGAAAUUCUUUGAACUUUUCAAGUGUUUCAGACUUAUGUUUCAUUAAGUAGAUAUACCCAUAUCUGCUUAAAUCAUCUGUGAAGGUGAGAAAAUAACGAUACCCGCCGCGAGCCUCAAUAUUCAUCGGACCACAUACAUCAGUAUGUAUGAUUUCCAACAAGUCUGUUGCUCGCUACAUUGUUCCGGAGAACGGCGUUUUAGUCAUCUUGCCCAUGAGGCAUGGUUUGCAAGUACUAAGUGAUUCAUAAUCAAGUGAUUCCAAAAGUCCAUCAUAAUGGAGUUUCUUCAUGCGCUUUACACCAAUAUGACCCAAACGGCAGUGCCACAAAUAAGUUGCACUAUCAUUAUCGACUCUGCAUGUUUUGGCUUCAACAUUAUGAAUAUGUAUAUCACUACUAUCGAGAUUCAUCAGAAAUAGACCACUCUUUAAGGGUCCAUGACCAUAAAAGAUAUUACUCAUAUAAAUAGAACAACCAUUAUUCUCAGAUUUAAAUGAAUAACCGUCUCGCAUCAAACAAGAUCCAGAUAUAAUGUUCAUGCUCAAAGCUGGCACCAAAUAACAAUUAUUUAGGUCUAAAACUAAUCCCGAAGGUAGAUGUAGAGGUAGCGUGCCGACGGCGAUCACAUCGACUUUGGAACCAUUUCCCACGCGCAUCGUCACCUCGUCCUUAGCCAAUCUUCGCUUAAUCUGUAGUCCCUGUUUCAAGUUGCAAAUAUUAGCAACAGAACCAUUAUCAAAUACCCAAGUGCUACUGCGAGCUUUAGUAAGGUACACAUCAAUAACAUGUAUAUUACAUAUACCUUUGCUCAUCUUGCCAUCCUUCUUAUCCACCAAAUACUUGGGGCAGUUCGCUUCCAGUGGCCAGUCCCUUUGCAGUAGAAGCACUCAGUCUCAGGCUUAGGUCCAGACUUGGGUUUCUUCUCCCGAGCAGCAACUUGUUUGCCAUUCUUCUUGAAGUUCCCCUUCUUCUUCCCUUUACCCUUUUUCUUGAAACUGGUGGUCUUAUUGACCAUCAACACUUGAUGCUCCUUCUUGAUUUCUACCUCUGCAACCUUUAGCAUUGCGAAGAGCUCGGGAAUAGUCUUAUCUAUCCCUUGCAUGUUAUAGUUCAUCACGAAGCUUUUGUAGCUUGGUGGCAGUGAUUGAAGAAUUCUGUCAAUGACACUAUCAUCCGGAAGAUUAACUCCCAGUUGAAUCAAGUGAUUGUUAUACACAGACAUUCUGAGUAUAUGUUCACUGACAGAACUAUUCUCCUCCAUCUUGCAGCUGUAGAACUUAUUGGAGACUUCAUAUCUCUCAAUCCGAGCAUUUGCUUGAAAUAUUAACUUCAACUCCUGGAACAUCUCAUAUGCUCCAUGACGUUCAAAACGUCGUUGAAGUCCCGGUUCUAAGCCGUAAAGCAUGGCACACUGAACUAUCGAGUAGUCAUCAGCUUUGCUCUGCCAGACGUUCAUAACAUCUGGUGUUGCUCCUGCAGCGGGCUUGGCACCCAGCGGUGCUUCCAGGAGGUAAUUCUUCUGUGCAGCAAUGAGGAUAAUCCUCAAGUUACGGACCCAGUCCGUGUAAUUACUACCAUCAUCUUUCAACUUUGCUUUCUCAAGGAAUGCAUUAAAAUUCAACGGAACAACAGCACGAGCCAUCUAUCUACAACAACAUAGACAUGCAAAAUACUAUCAGGUACUAAGUUCAUGAUAAAUUAAAGUUCAAUUAAUCAAAUUACUUAAGAACUCCCACUUAGAUAGACAUCCCUCUAAUCAUCUAAGUGAUCACGUGAUCCAUAUCAACUAAACCAUGUCCGAUCAUCACGUGAGAUGGAGUAGUUUUGAAUGGUGAACAUCACUAUGUUGAUCAUAUCUACUAUAUGAUUCACGCUUGACCUUUCGGUCUUAGUGUUCCGAGGCCAUAUCUGCAUAUGCUAGGCUUGUCAAGUUUAACCCGAGUAAUCUUCGUGUGCAAAACUGGCUUGCACCUGUUGUAUAUGAACGUAGUGUUGGAAAUAUGCCCUAGAGGCAAUAAUAAAUGGUUAUUAUUAUAUUUCUUUGUUCAUGAUAAUUGUCUAUUGUUCAUGCUAUAAUUGUGUUAUCCGGAAAUCGUAAUACAUGUGUGAAUACAUAGACCACAACGUGUCCCUAGUAAGCCUCUAGUUGACUAGCUCGUUGAUCAACAGAUAGUCAUGGUUUCCUGACUAUGGACAUUGGAUGUCAUUAAUAACGGGAUCACAUCAUUAGGAGAAUGAUGUGAGGGACAAGACCCAAUCCUAAGCAUAGCACAAAAGAUCGUGUAGUUCGUUUGCUAGAGCUUUUCCAAUGUCAAGUAUCUUUUCCUUAGACCAUGAGAUCGUGUAACUCCCGGAUACCGUAGGAGUGCUUUGGGUGUACCAAACAUCACAACGUAACUGGGUGACUAUAAAGGUACACUACGGGUAUCCCUAAAAGUGUCUGUUGGGUUGACACGGAUCGAGACUGGGAUUUGUCACUCCGUAUGACGGAGAGGUAUCUCUGGGCCCACUCGGUAAUGCAUCAUCAUAAUGAGCUCAAUGUGACUAAGGAGUUAGCCACGGGAUCAUGCAUUACGGUACGAGUAAAGUGACUUUCCAGUAACGAGAUUGAACAAGGUAUUGGGAUACCGACGAUCGAAUCUCGGGCAAGUAACGUACCGAUUGACAAAGGGAAUUGUAUACGGGAUUGAUUGAAUCCUCGACAUCGUGGUUCAUCUUAUGAGAUCAUCGUGGAACAUGUGGGAGCCAACAUGGGUAUCCAGAUCCCGCUGUUGGUUAUUGACCGGAGAGGCGUCUCGGUCAUGUCUGCAUGUCUCCCGAACCCGUAGGGUCUACACACUUAAGGUUCGAUGACGCUAGGGUUGUAGAGAUAUUAGUAUGCGGAAACCCGAAAGUUGUUCGGAGUCCCGGAUGAGAUCCCGGACAUCACGAGGAGUUUCGGAAUGGUCCGGAGGUGAAGAAUUAUAUAUAGGAAGUCCAGUUUCGGCCACCGGGAAAGUUUUGGGGGUUAUCGGUAUUGUACCGGGACCACCGGAAGGGUCCUGGGGGUCCACCGGGUGGGGCCACCUAUCCCGGAGGGCCCCAUGGGCUGAAGUGGGAAGGGAACCAGCCCUUAGUGGGCUGGGGCGCCCCCCAUGGGCCUCCCCCUACGCCUAGGUUUGGAAACCCUGGGGGUGGGGGGCGCCCCACUUGACUUGGGGGGGAAGUUUCCCCCUGGCCGCCCCCCCCUUUGUAGAUGGGAUCCAGGGCCGGCGCCCCCCCAGGGGGCCUAUAUAUAGUGGGGGGGAGGGAGGGCAGCAGUACCACAGCCCCUGGCACCUCCCUCUCCCCCUGCAACACCUCUCCCUCUCGCAGAAGCUUGGCGAAGCCCUGCCGAGAUCCCUGCUACUUCCACCACCACGCCGUCGUGCUGCUGGAUCUCCAUCAACCUCUCCUUCCCCCUUGCUGGAUCAAGAAGGAGGAGACGUCGCUGCUCCGUACGUGUGUUGAACGCGGAGGUGCCGUCCGUUUGGCACUCGGUCAUCGGUGAUUUGGAUCACGGCGAGUACGACUCCAUCAACCCCGUUCAUUGGAACGCUUCCGCUCGCGAUCUACAAGGGUAUGUAGAUGCACUCCUUUCCCCUCGUUGCUAGUAUACUCCAUAGAUGGAUCUUGGUGAUGCGUAGGAAAUUUUAAAAUUCUGCUAUGACCCCCAACAGUGGCAUCAUGAGCCAGGCCUAUGCGUAGUUACUAUGCACGAGUAGAACACAAAGCAGUUGUGGGCGUAGAUGUUGUCAAUUUUUCUUGCCACUACUAGUCUUAUCUUGUUUCGGCGGUAUUGUGGGAUGAAGCGGCCCGGGCCGACCUUACACGUACGCUUACGUGAGACAGGUUCCACCGACUGACAUGCACUAGUUGCAUAAGGUGGCUAGCGGGUGUCUGUCUCUCCCACUUUAGUCGGAACGGAUUCGAUGAAAAGGGUCCUUAUGAAGGGUAAAUAGAAAUUGGCAUAUCACGUUGUGGUUUUACGUAGGUAAGAAACGUUCUUGCUAGAAAUCUACACAAGCCACGUAAAAACUUGCAACAACAAUUAGAGGACGUCUAACUUGUUUUUGCAGCAUGUGCUAUGUGAUGUGAUAUGGCCAGAAGAUGUGAUGAAUGAUAUAUGUGAUGUAUGAGAUUGAUCAUAUUCUUGUAAUAGGAAUCACGACUUGCAUGUCGAUGAGUAUGACAACCGGCAGGAGCCAUAGGAGUUGUCUUUAUUUUUUGUAUGACCUGCGUGUCAUUGAAUAACACCAUGUAAAUUACUUUACUUUAUUGCUAAACGCGUUAGCCAUAGAAGUAGAAGUAAUCGUUGGUGUGACAACUUCAUGAAGACACAAUGAUGGAGAUCAUGAUGAUGGAGAUCAUGGUGUCAUGCCGGUGACGAAGAUGAUCAUGGUGCCCCGAAGAUGGAGAUCAAAGGAGCAAAAUGAUAUUGGCCAUAUCAUGUCACUAUUUGAUUGCAUGUGAUGUUUAUCAUGUUUUGCAUCUUAUUUGCUUAGAACGACGGUAGUAAGUAAGAUGAUCCCUUAUGAUAAUUUCAAGAAAGUGUUCCCCUUAACUGUUCACCGUUGCGAAGGUUCGUUGUUUCGAAGCACCACGUGAUGAUCGGGUGUGAUAGAUUCUAACGUUCGCAUACAACGGGUGUUGACGAGCCUAGCAUGUACAGACAUGGCCUCGGAACACACGCAAUACACUUAGGUUGACUUGACGAGCCUAGCAUGUACAGACAUGGCCUCGGAACACGGAGGACCGAAAGGUCGAGCAUGAGUCGUAUAGAAGAUAUGAUCAACAUGGAGAUGUUCACCGAUCUUGACUAGUCCGUCUCACGUGAUGAUCGGACACGGCCUAGUUAACUCGGAUCAUGUUUCACUUAGAUGACUAGAGGGACGUCUAUCUGAGUGGGAGUUCAUUGAAUAAUUUGAUUAUAUGAACUUAAUUAUCAUGAACUUAGUCUAAAAUCUUUACAAUAUGUCUUGUAGAUCAAAUGGCCCACGUUGUCCUCAACUUCAACACGUUCCUAGAGAAAACCAAGCUGAAAGAUGAUGGCAGCAACUAUACGGACUGGGUCCGGAACCUGAGGAUCAUCCUCAUAGCUGCCAAGAAAGAUUAUGUCCUAGAAGCACCGCUAGGUGAAGCACCAAUCCCAGAGAACCAAGACGUUAUGAACGCUUGGCAAUCACGUGCUGAUGAUUACUCCCUCGUUCAGUGUGGCAUGCUUUACAGCUUAGAACCGGGUCUCCAAAAGCGUUUUGAGAAACAUGGAGCAUAUGAGAUGUUCGAAGAGCUGAAAAUGGUUUUCCAAGCUCAUGCCCGGGUCGAGAGAUAUGAAGUCUCCGACAAGUUCUUCAGCUAUAAAAUGGAGGAAAAUAGUUCUGUUAGUGAGAACAUACUCAGAAUGUCUGGGUUACACAACCGCUUGUCUCAGCUGGGAGUUAAUCUCCCGGAUGACGCGGUCAUUGACAGAAUCCUUCAGUCGCUUCCACCGAGCUACAAGAGCUUUGUGAUGAACUUCAAUAUGCAGGGGAUGGAAAAGACCAUUCCUGAGGUAUAUUCAAUGUUGAAAUCAGCGGAGGUGGAGAUCAGAAAGGAACAUCAAGUGUUGAUGGUGAAUAAAACCACUAAGUUCAAGAAAGGCAAGGGUAAGAAGAACUUCAAGAAGGACGGCAAGGGAGUUGCCGCGCCCGGUAAGCCAGUUACUGGGAAGAAGUCGAAGAAUGGACCCAAGCCUGAGACUGAGUGCUUUUAUUGCAAGGGAAGUGGUCACUGGAAGCGGAACUGCCCCAAAUACUUAGCGGACAAGAAGGCCGGCAACACCAAAGGUAUAUGUGAUAUACAUGUAAUUGAUGUGUACCUUACCAGUACUCGUAGUAGCUCCUGGGUAUUUGAUACCGGUGCGGUUGCUCAUAUUUGUAACUCAAAACAGGAACUGCGGAAUAAGCGGAGACUGGCAAAGGACGAGGUGACGAUGCGCGUCGGGAAUGGUUCCAAGGUCGAUGUGAUCGCCGUCGGCACGCUACCUCUGCAUUUACCUAUGGGAUUAGUUUUAAACCUCAAUAAUUGUUAUUUAGUGCCAGCUUGGAGCAUGAACAUUGUAUCUGGAUCUCGUUUAAUUCGAGAUGGCUACUCAUUUAAAUCCGAGAAUAAUGGUUGUUCUAUUUAUAUGAGAGAUAUGUUUUAUGGUCAUGCCCCGCUGGUCAAUGGUUUAUUCUUGAUGAAUCUCGAACGUGAUGUUACACAUAUUCAUAGUGUGAAUACCAAAAGAUGUAAAGUUGAUAACGAUAGUCCCACAUACUUGUGGCACUGCCGCCUUGGUCACAUUGGUGUCAAACGCAUGAAGAAGCUCCAUGCAGAUGGACUUUUGGAGUCUCUUGAUUAUGAAUCAUUUGACACGUGCGAACCAUGCCUCAUGGGUAAGAUGACCAAGACUCCGUUCUCCGGAACAAUGGAGCGAGCAACCAACUUAUUGGAAAUCAUACAUACCGAUGUGUGCGGUCCAAUGAGUGUUGAGGCUCACGGAGGAUAUCGUUAUGUUCUCACUCUCACUGAUGACUUAAGUAGAUAUGGGUAUGUCUACCUAAUGAAACACAAGUCUGAAACCUUUGAAAAGUUCAAGGAAUUUCAGAGUGAGGUUGAGAAUCAACGUGACAGGAAAAUAAAAUUCUUACGAUCAGAUCGUGGUGGAGAAUAUUUAAGUCACGAAUUUGGUACGCACUUAAAGAAAUGUGGAAUCGUUUCACAACUCACGCCGCCUGGAACACCUCAGCGAAACGGUGUGUCCGAACGUCGUAAUCGCACUCUAUUGGAUAUGGUGCGAUCUAUGAUGUCUCUUACCGAUCUACCGCUCUCAUUUUGGGGCUAUGCUUUAGAGACUGCCGCAUUCACUUUAAAUAGGGCUCCAUCGAAAUCCGUUGAGACGACACCGUAUGAAUUAUGGUUUGGGAAGAAACCUAAGCUGUCGUUUCUAAAAGUUUGGGGAUGCGAUGCUUAUGUCAAGAAACUUCAACCUGAAAAGCUCGAACCCAAGUCAGAAAAAUGCGUCUUCAUAGGAUACCCUAAGGAAACUAUUGGGUAUACCUUCUACCUCAGAUCCGAAAGCAAGAUCUUUGUUGACAAGAAUGGGUCCUUUCUGGAGAAAGAGUUUCUCUCGAAAGAAUUAAGUGGGAGGAAAGUGGAACUUGAUGAGGUGAUAGUCACCCCUUCCGAACCGGAAAGUAGCGCAGUGCGGGAAGAUGUUCCUGUGGUGCCUACACCGACUGGGGAGGAAGUUAAUGAUGAUGAUCAUGAAGCUUCAGAUCAAGUUACUGCUGAACUUCAUAGGUCCACAAGGACACGUUCCGCACCAGAGUGAUACGGCAACCAUGUCCUGGAAAUCAUGUUGUUAGACAACGGUGAACCUUCGAACUAUGAAGAAGCGAUGGCGGGCCCAGAUUCCGACAAAUGGCUAGAAGCCAUGAAAUCCGAGAUAGGAUCCAUGUAUGAAAAGAAGUAUGGACUUUGACUGACUUGCCCGAUGAUCGGCGAGCCAUAGAAAAUAAAUGGAUCUUUAAGAAGAAGACAGACGCGGAUGGUAACGUGACCAUCUAUAAGGCUCGACUUGUCGCUAAGGGUUAUCGACAAGUUCAAGGGGUUGACUACGAUGAGACUUUCUCACCCGUAGCGAAGCUGAAGUCCGUCCGAAUCAUGUUAGCAAUUGCCGCCUUCUACGAUUAUGAGAUAUGGCAAAUGGACGUCAAAACGGCAUUCCUUAACGGCUUUCUUAAGGAAGAAUUGUAUAUGAUGCAGACGGAAGGUUUUGUCGAUCCUAAGAAUGCUAACAAGGUAUGCAAGCUCCAGCGCUCCAUCUAUGGACUGGUGCAAGCAUCUCAGAGUUGGAACAUUCAUUUUGAUGAGAUGAUCAAAGCGUUUGGGUUUACACAGACUUAUGGAGAAGCCUGUGUUUACAAGAAAGUGAGUGGGAGCUUUGUAGCAUUUCUCUUAUUAUAUGUGGAUGACAUACUAUUGAUGGGAAAUGAUAUAGAAUUCUUGGAAAGUAUAAAGGCCUAUUUGAAUAAGUGUUUUUCAAUGAAGGACCUUGGAGAAGCUGCUUAUAUAUUGGGCAUCAAGAUCUAUAGAGAUAGAUCAAGACGCUUCAUUGGUCUUUCACAGAGUACGUACCUUGACAAGAUAUUGAAGAAGUUCAAUAUGGAUCAGUCCAAGAAGGGGUUCUUGCCUGUAAUGCAAGGUGUGCAAUUGAGCACGGCUCAAUGCCCGACCACGGCAGAAGAUAGAGAAAAGAUGAGUGUCAUCCCCUAUGCCUCGGCCAUAGGGUCCAUUAUGUAUGCCAUGCUAUUUACCAGACCUGAUGUAAACCUUGCCGUAAGUUUGGUAGGAAGGUACCAAAGUAAUCCCGGCAUGGAACACUGGACAGCGGUCAAGAAUAUCCUGAAGUACCUGAAGAGGACUAAGGAUAUGUUUCUCGUUUAUGGAGGUGACGAAGAGCUCGUCGUAAAGGGUUACGUCGACGCUAGCUUCGACACAGAUCUGGAUGACUCGAAGUCACAAACCGGAUACGUGUAUAUUUUGAAUGGAGGGGCAGUAAGCUGGUGCAGUUGCAAGCAAAGCGUCGUGGCGGGAUCUACAUGUGAAGCGGAGUACAUGGCAGCCUCAGAGGCAGCGCAAGAAGCAAUCUGGAUGAAGGAGUUCAUUACCGACCUAGGGGUGAUUCCCAAUGUGUCAGGCCCGAUGACUCUCUUCUGUGACAACACUAGAGCUAUUGCCCUUGCCAAGGAGCCCAGGUUUCACAGGAAGACCAGGCAUAUCAAGCUUCGCUUCAAUUCCAUUCGUGAAAGUGUUCAAAAUGGAGACAUAGAUAUUUGUAAAGUACAUACGGACCUGAAUAUAGCAGAUUCGCUGACUAAACCUCUCCCUAGAGCAAAACAUGAUCAACACCAGUACGCUAUGGGUGUUCGAUUCAUCACAAUGUAACUAGAUUAUUGACUCUAGUGCAAGUGGGAGACUGUUGGAAAUAUGCCCUAGAGGCAAUAAUAAAUGGUUAUUAUUAUAUUUCUUUGUUCAUGAUAAUUGUCUAUUGUUCAUGCUAUAAUUGUGUUAUCCGGAAAUCGUAAUACAUGUGUGAAUACAUAGACCACAACGUGUCCCUAGUAAGCCUCUAGUUGACUAGCUCGUUGAUCAACAGAUAGUCAUGGUUUCCUGACUAUGGACAUUGGAUGUCAUUGAUAAUGGGAUCACAUCAUUAGGAGAAUGAUGUGAUGGACAAGACCCAAUCCUAAGCAUAGCACAAAAGAUCGUAUAGUUCGUUUGCUAGAGCUUUUCCAAUGUCAAGUAUCUUUUCCUUAGACCAUGAGAUCGUGUAACUCCCGGAUACCGUAGGAGUGCUUUGGGUGUACCAAACGUCACAACGUAACUGGGUGACUAUAAAGGUACACUACGGGUAUCCCUAAAAGUGUCUGUUGGGUUGACACGGAUCGAGACUGGGAUUUGUCACUCCGUAUGACGGAGAGGUAUCUCUGGGCCCACUCGGUAAUGCAUCAUCAUAAUGAGCUCAAUGUGACUAAGGACUUAGCCACGGGAUCAUGCAUUACGGUACGAGUAAAGUGACUUGCCGGUAACAAGAUUGAACAAGGUAUUGGGAUACCGACGAUCGAAUCUCGGGCAAGUAACGUACCGAUUGACAAAGGGAAUUGUAUACGGGAUUGAUUGAACCCUCGACAUCGUGGUUCAUCUGAUGAGAUCAUCGUGGAACAUGUGGGAGCCAACAUGGGUAUCCAGAUCCCGCUGUUGGUUAUUGACCGGAGAGGCGUCUCGGUCAUGUCUGCAUGUCUCCCGAACCCGUAGGGUCUACACACUUAAGGUUCGGUGACGCUAGGGUUGUAGAGAUAUUAGUAUGCGGAAACCCGAAAGUUGUUCGGAGUCCCGGAUGAGAUCCCGGACAUCACGAGGAGUUUCGGAAUGGUCCGGAGGUGAAGAAUUAUAUAUAGGAAGUCCAGUUUCGGCCACCGGGAAAGUUUCGGGGGUUAUCGGUAUUGUACCGGGACCACCGGAAGGGUCCCGGGGGUCCACCGAGUGGGGCCACCUAUCCCGGAGGGCCCCAUGGGCUGAAGUGGGAAGGGAACCAGCCCUUAGUGGGCUGGGGCGCCCCCCAAGGGCCUCCCCCUGCGCCUAGGGUUGGAAACCCUGGGGGUGGGGGGCGCCCCACUUGACUUGGGGGGGAAGUUUCCCCCUGGCCGCCGCCCCCCCCCUUUGUAGAUGGGAUCCAGGGCCGGCGCCCACCCCCCAGGGGGCCUAUAUAUAGUGGGGGGGAGGGAGGGAAGCAGUACCACAGCCCCUGGCGCCUCCCUCUCCCCCUGGAACACCUCUCCCUCUCGCAGAAGCUUGGCGAAGCCCUGCCGAGAUCCCCGCUACUUCCACCACCACGCCGUCGUGCUGCUGGAUCUCCAUCAACCUCUCCUUCCCCCUUGCUGGAUCAAGAAGGAGGAUACAUCGCUGCUCCGUACGUGUGUUGAACGAGGAGGUGCCGUCCGUUCGGCACUCGGUUAUCGGUGAUUUGGAUCACAGCGAGUACGACUCCAUCAACCCCGUUCAUUGGAACGCUUCCGCUCGCGAUCUACAAGGGUAUGUAGAUGCACUCCUUUCCCCUCGCUGCUAGUAUACUCCAUAGAUGGAUCUUGGUGAUGCGUAGAAAAUUUUAAAAUUUUGCUACGAUCCCCAACACGUAGAGCUUAUCACACCCGAUCAUCACGUGGUGUCUCAGCACGAUGAACUUUGGCAACGGUGCAUACUCAGGGAAAACACUUGUACCUUGAAAUUUAGUGAGAGAUCAUCUUAUAAUGCUAUCGUCAAACAAAGCAGAAUAAGAUGCAUAAAAGAUAAACAUCACAUGCAAUCAAUAUAAGUGAUAUGAUAUGGCAUCAUCAUCUUGUGCCUUUGAUCUCCAUCUCCAAAGCUCCGUCAUGAUCACCAUCAUCAUCGGCGCGACACCUUGAUCUCCAUCGUAGCAUCGUUGUCGUCUCGCCAACUAUUGCUUCUACGACUAUCGCUACCGCUUAGUGAUAAAGUAAAGCAAUUACAGGGCGAUUGCAUUGCAUACAAUAAAGCAACAACCAUAUGGCUCCUGCCAGUUGCCGAUAACUUGGUUACAAAACAUGAUCAGCGGUACGUUACUUGCCCGAGAUUCGAUCGUCGGUAUCUCAAUACCUAGUUCCAUCUUGUUACUGGCAAGUCUCUUUACUCAUUUCGUAAUACAUCAUCCCGCAACUAACUCAUUAGUUGCAUUGCUUGCAAGGCUUAUUAUGAUGUGCAUUACCGAGAGGGCCCAGAGAUACCUCUUCGACAAUCGGAGUGACAAAUCCUAAUCUCGAUCUAUGCCAACUCAACAAGUACCUUCGGAGACACCUGUAGAGCACCUUUAUAAUCACCCAGUUACGUUGUGACGUUUGGUAGCACACAAAGUGUUCCUCCGGUAUUCGGGAGUUGCAUAAUCUCAUAGUCAUAGGAACAUGUAUAAGUCAUGAAGAAAGCAAUAGCAACAUACUAAACGAUCAAGUGCUAAGCUAAUGGAAUGGGUCAUGUCAAUCACAUCAUUCUCCUAAUGACGUGAUCCCGUUAAUCAAAUGACAACUCAUGUCUAUGGCUAGGAAACUCAACCAUCUUUGAUCAACGAGCUAGUCAAGUAGAGGCAUACUAGUGACACUAUGUUUGUCUAUAUAUUCACACAUGUAUUAUGUUUCUGGUUAAUACAAUUCUAGCAUGAAUAAUAAACAUUUAUCAUGAUAUGAGGAAAUAAAUAAUAACUUUAUUAUUGCCUCUAGGGCAUAUUUCCUUCAAACUUCACUCCGACCUCCUAUACCAUGCUUAACUAUACUAAGAAGUUAACGAUAAAAGUAUUUUCCAACUAAAAGUAGCCAAAUGAAGCUUGAUCCUGAUCAUGAAGUGGCCAAUAGCAAUGCUAACUUCUUUGAAAUCACAGAAAAACGUCGGCGUAAUAAUCCUAGAUGUAAAUCUGAACCAUUAAAAUGUAAGGAUCAAAGACUGGGAGAUAUAAGCAAACUAAUGAUGCAACUCUACUAAGGAUAGAACAUAGAAGGAACAAAUAUGUGAGAUACUACAUAAGAUGGUAAUGAGUAUACAUACCUUGGACUGCUCUAUAGGGAAAAGUGAGCAAACCGGUCUUUAAACUCAUUAAUUUUGGCCUCGAAGCAUCAUAAUGGAAGUGUCAAAAAUAUAUAACUGUUAGAAAAUAAAUUCGUAACAAAGAAUGUUCAGAUACAUACAAUAGUACCAAGGGAAGUACAUGCCACUGCUCUCAUCAGACCUCUCCUCCACCUCCUCGGGCUGGCCCCUCCUCCGCGAUCUCUCGUGGGUAGCCAUGUCGAUGGGUACCAUCUGCAAAUUGAAAACAAAGUCAUGCCUCACGGAGUCCUGAACGACUACACUCUUGUCCAAAAUGCCAGCUGCAGAGGCACAACCACCUAGCCCUCGACAUCAGCGCACAGGCAGAUUAAUGAUCACUUUAUUGUACUUAAGAAUAUUUUAACUAUUUCAUAUCACUGAAGUUCCGCAAAACAUAGAAUUGCAUUAUCAGCCAAGCAAAGUGGUACAAGUAACACUGCUAUAUGAUUCAUCAUAAUAGUAAGUUCAGUAUUGUCUAAAAUUUAGAGAACACGUAUCCAAAUACCAACGUGUUUCGCUAUAUUCGCUAUAUAACUAGUUUCCUAGCUUCUGAGUUCAUGAUCAAGUUAUGAGGUGAAGAAUUCUGAAUUCUCUAACUUGUCUCUAAUAAAUAAUACUUAUCCAACUAAUUCAGGGGGGUCUACUGUGAUUCUUGGAGCAACAAAUUGGUUUAAAUACCCUGCACAAGCUACCAUUACACCUAGUUUGCUAUCACACAAAAAAGGAGUGUUGCUUAGAUGGUAUCUCACCAGAUUGCUGUCGUCAUUUCACUACCGGGCACCUUCUCAUAGAGCGAUUUAUAAAAUAUUCUCAACGGAUCCCUCUGUUACAAAAAAUAAAACAAUUAUUACUCCUAUGAAAGGAAUCAGAACAUAUCAAAAGGGGAAAUGUCAUAAUGGUUAAUAUCCAGGAAGGGGAGCAUGUUCCCGUCCUGGCAAUUCUUACACCUUUCUCUCUUUGACCCCAGCAUCCUUCUUUUCAUCUUUCUUGAUACCAACCCCCAUAUUUAUUUUCUUUUGCUCCUCCAACAAAUCAAGAAAAUAAUUUAGCAACUAAACAACACAACAUAAAUCACAAUAAUGGCAUACCUUUGUAUCAUAUUCAUCAUUUUGUUUCUUGAUCCUGGAGAAGUUGGGA
rnacentral:lncRNA from 1 species